rnacentral:rRNA from 1 species
GUGGGGAAUAUUGGACAAUGGGGGGAACCCUGAUCCAGCCAUGCCGCGUGUGUGAAGAAGGCCUUUUGGUUGUAAAGCACUUUAAGCGAGGAGGAGGCUACCGAGAUUAAUACUCUUGGAUAGUGGACGUUACUCGCAGAAUAAGCACCGGCUAACUCUGUGCCAGCAGCCGCGGUAAUACAGAGGGUGCAAGCGUUAAUCGGAUUUACUGGGCGUGAAGCGCGCGUAGGUGGCCAAUUAAGUCAAAUGGGAAAUCCCCGAGCUUAACUUGGGAAUUGCAUUCGAUACUGGUUGGCUAGAGUAUGGGAGAGGAUGGUAGAAUUCCAGGUGUAGCGGUGAAAUGCGUAGAGAUCUGGAGGAAUACCGAUGGCGAAGGCAGCCAUCUGGCCUAAUACUGACACUGAGGUGCGAAAGCAUGGGGAGCAAACAGGAUUAGAAACCCCGGUAGUCC